rnacentral:rRNA from 1 species
AACGCUGGCGGCAUGCCUAACACAUGCAAGUCGAACGAGACCUUCGGGUCUAGUGGCGCACGGGUGCGUAACGCGUGGGAAUCUGCCCCUUGGUUCGGAAUAACAGCGAGAAAUUGCUGCUAAUACCGGAUAAUGACGUAAGUCCAAAGAUUUAUCGCCAAGGGAUGAGCCCGCGUAGGAUUAGCUAGUUGGUGUGGUAAAGGCGCACCAAGGCGACGAUCCUUAGCUGGUCUGAGAGGAUGAUCAGCCACACUGGGACUGAGACACGGCCCAGACUCCUACGGGAGGCAGCAGUGGGGAAUAUUGGACAAUGGGCGAAAGCCUGAUCCAGCAAUGCCGCGUGAGUGAUGAAGGCCUUAGGGUUGUAAAGCUCUUUUACCCGGGAUGAUAAUGACAGUACCGGGAGAAUAAGCUCCGGCUAACUCCGUG